rnacentral:tRNA from 1 species
UAUUAAAUAGUCAAUUAUGAUUUUAAAUUGCAAGUUUAAAGGUUCUUUUAGAUUUAGUUA